rnacentral:lncRNA from 10 species
GGGCAUGGUGGCUCAUGCCUGUAACCCAGCACUUUGGGAGGCUCAGGCAUGAGCCACUGCGCCCACUGGCCUCGUUGUUUUAAAGACAACUAUGAGUUAAUUCCUUAGAACAGUAGGAUUCUGAAAUUUUAAGCCUAGUUAGAAAUCUACCACGUGACUGUAUCAAUGCCAUCUUAAGGAGUCAGGGAUGUGUAUGCAGAAUGGAAAUCUAACUUACUGAUUAGCCAGAGUCACCAUGACAAAGCAGUUAUGAUCAUGGGAUUUGGCUGUACAUACUUAGUAUAGAUAAUGGGGAUCUUAGGACUGAAUUGGCACCAUCCCUUGUAGUGAUCUGCAACUUUUAUUUUCAAACAGUUCCUACUGGCUAAAUGACAACUUCAGAGAAUGAACACAUCUCAUCCACAGAGUCAAGAACAGAGCAAGAGCUCAGUAGGUGUCACCUAGAAGGAUUAUAAUACAUUGCUGUACACUACUGGGAAAUCAAUGUAGUUUAACACUGUUCUGCACCCUGCCAAAGGCACCAAGUAAGUACAUCA